rnacentral:rRNA from 1 species
CCUACGGGAGGCAGCAGUGAGGAAUAUUGGUCAAUGGACGAGAGUCUGUACCAGCCAAGUAGCGUGAAGGAUGAAUGCCCUAUGGGUUGUAAGCUUCUUUUAUAUGGGAAUAAAAUGUUCCACGUGUGGGAUUUUGUAUGUACCAUAUGAAUAAGGAUCGGCUAACUCCGUGCCAGCAGCCGCGGUAAUACGGAGGAUCCGAGCGUUAUCCGGAUUUAUUGGGUUUAAAGGGAGCGUAGGUGGAUUGUUAAGUCAGUUGUGAAAGUUUGCGGCUCAACCGUAAAAUUGCAGUUGAAACUGGAAGGCUUGAGUACAGUAGAGGUGGGCGGAAUUCGUGGUGUAGCGGUGAAAUGCUUAGAUAUCACGAAGAACUCCGAUUGCGAAGGCAGUUCACUGGACUGCAACUGACACUGAGGCUCGAAAGUGUGGGUAGCAAACAGGAUUAGAUACCCUAGUAGUC